GUAACGGAGUUGUCAGUAUGAACUGUGAGUUGAUUACAUCCUGUAUGGUAUCAAGACAUAAACUUUACAUUAUCAUGCGUCGGAGGAAUAUCUUAAACAAUGACUUAUGUGUAUAUCAACCGUUCCUAUACCUGUUCCUGUACAUUGAAUAGAAAGGACACGUGUCGCCAUUUGCAUUCAUGAAGCCUUGCAAACGUUCCAUGUUGUACAUUGUUUCAACGAAUGUGUUUUGGUUCUGAUUGUCAUGAUUUGAUAACAUUGGAAUCACAAUGCCCGUAGCUGGAAGUGGGCCUUCAUCAUGUUUAUCGGUGAAAAAUGUCAUCUUCAUCAAUUCAUCAAAGAAACAACGAGACAAAUCGAUGUCACAAUGGG